rnacentral:rRNA from 1 species
UACAGAGGGGGCAAGCGUUGUUCGGAAUUACUGGGCGUAAAGGGCGCGUAGGCGGCCCGCUAAGUCGAACGUGAAAUCCCCGAGCUCAACUCGGGAACUGCGUCCGAUACUGGUGGGCUUGAAUCCGGGAGAGGGAUGCGGAAUUCCAGGUGUAGCGGUGAAAUGCGUAGAUAUCUGGAGGAACACCUAUGGCGAAGGCAGCUCGCUGGGACGUUACUGACGCUGAGACGCGAAAGCGUGGGGAGCAAACAGG